UACGGAGGGUGCAAGCGUUAAUCGGAAUUACUGGGCGUAAAGCGCACGCAGGCGGUCUGUUAAGUCAGAUGUGAAAUCCCCGGGCUUAACCUGGGAACUGCAUUUGAAACUGGCAGGCUUGAGUCUUGUAGAGGGGGGUAGAAUUCCAGGUGUAGCGGUGAAAUGCGUAGAGAUCUGGAGGAAUACCGGUGGCGAAGGCGAUCAUCUGGGGUUGUUCUGACACUGAGGAGCGAAAGCUAGGGGAGCAAACGGG
rnacentral:rRNA from 1 species